GGGUAGCUAGCUCAGUUGGUUAGAGCGUCGCGUUGACAUCGCGGAGGUCACUGGUUCGAAUCCAGUGCUACCCA
rnacentral:tRNA from 1 species